AAUAAUAAAAUGUAGUGAAUUGAAACACUUAAUAUAUAAUUAAAAAGUUUAGAUAAUUAACAAUAUAAAACAAACAAGAUCAUAUUAUUUAAAAUGUAUGUGAUUAGUUUUCAUAAAAGUUAUGUGAAUUGGGAAAACUGAGGAUGCAACUCCAGUCCAGAGGUGGCGCUACUUGCUGCACAUCACGGUUGUUCACAGCCAAACGUUUGAGCGCUGCAUUUCUACUUCCUGUUGCCCUUCAACUGUGUGGGGAGUGGAGCGAGAUCAAUGUUAUGAUACAAAACUAUUGUGGUAUUUUUGUCAUUCUCCUCAACGGGACAUCCAUGUGGCGACAUGGCUGGUAUUAUCUCCGUGUUCAAUCUGGUCAAGCAGAUGAGGGGCCUUCAUUUACUGCCGACAUAGAUGAGGUUCUGAUCAAGAAGGUGAUGCAACGCCCAUGCUCAACCUGGAGGAAGGAGGUUCUCCGGGAGCCAGCAAUUCCAGACUUCCAGAACAGAUGGCACUUUUUGAUGCCAGCGAGGUAAAUGUAGUGUAGUUGACUGGACUGUCACUGGACUAAACCAGUGACAUUCUUAUCUUUUGGUGUUGUCGUCAAUGCCAUUAACCUGC